GCGACGAUGGCGACGUCGACGACGCGGCGCUUAAAUAAACCCCUCAAAAAAGCAUAGAUCAGUAAAGAAAAGGAGAUGGCGUCAGCGGCGGAGGUAGAGGUGGAGACGAGAUUGGCUUCCAUGUUGUCGCAAUGAUUGUGAUCUGUGUUUACUGCCCAGGCAGUGUAUGAGUGUGCGUGUGUGUGUGUGUGUGCGUAUGCUGCCAUUCAGUUUGCGCGACAGGGCAUAACGUAAAUAUUGACAGCCUAGCAGAACAUGAUUGUUGUAUUGAUAUCAAUGGGUCUUUGACCUUCCACAAAUGCAUCAACCUGCACCUAAGCCGAUCGCAUUGCCGUAGGCCCAGCAUUCGACCUAUUUACCUCAUUUCGAAGCACCCUAAGCGGCAACUUCCGGUUCCAUUAAUGUGUACUAAUGUCGGCUAAACAAAAACAACUUUUGAACAGACAGCCGCGACAACAACAAGAAGUGCUUUAAUAAUACGAUAUAAACAUUAGCAGCAGCUGCUGCAGCGGUCGCAACAACAAACUUUUCGUUCUCAAAUUAGUGUCAUUAUCACUGGUACACACAUUUACACACACACAUAGGCAUACACACGUACACGCAUACUCUGUAAACGGUGGCACCUCCGCUUUGACCUCCGUCCCAGGUUCAGCUUUGAAUUGAGUCUAAAUUCAAUCAAUUUAAUUUAAUUUCACAAAACAAUUGGACAGCACAAACAGACAGAACGGACUGGCAACCAAAGCUGGUUAAAUUUUGGUUGCUUCGCUGCGCUACACCCUACGAAAUGCGGCAUUUUAACAGCUGCAAUGGUUAGGUCGCUACAAUUCAAUUCCACAUAAGCUAAUCUACAAGGACAGGUUAUAUGUAAUUUUCAAGAUUCUACUAGCCGGAUUAAUUUAUUUAAUAAUAGUUAACUUAUUUAUGAGUUAAUUUGAAGGCCAAAUUCCCAUUAAGCUCAUCUGGAAUUUCACUGGAAAAAGUUUCUGCAAGUACAAAUUGCGCACACCGUGCGUAUACGUAAUUUCCAUCAGCGAAAAUGUCAAAUGUAUUUACUGCUUAUAUGCAUAAUCACUGGCCACGCAAACACUCACAUAUCUAAACACACACACACGCGAACAACUAGUUAAGUGAAUUAAAGCUACUUGCGAGGCGAAAAGAAAACUUGCCACUAAAUUGCCUUUCGACAUCAUUUUGGGUUUAGGUUAGUAUUACAAGAUUAUGCGGAUAAUUGCUGGCAUGCGAUGCCAUCUAAUAUGACGACACGCAGCUCAUGCUCAACAAAAUAGCCGACUCCCCAACCACCAACCCCCUGCCCCCUGCCCCAUCAACACUCAGACCACCUACCCAUCCAAUCAUUAUACAUAGAGUACAAGCCUAUGGGCAUUUUUUGUUGUUGCCGAGGUCCAUUUCUCCAUCUCGUAUCGCAUGAAUUUGUGUUUCAUGGACAGCAAACACGCGAAUUAGCUUAUGUAUGUGUGUGUGUGUUGCGCGUUUGUGUGUAUGUGUGUGAUUGUGGUUUACUCAUUUUGUGCGUGUCGCUGUGAGGUGCAUCUGUAGUUGUAUUCACUUUGAAUUGCCAUUGCCUCGUAUGCUAAUUUUAGCCUUAAACCUUUUAAUUAGCGACUAUGGCCGAGAUUGGAGAACAUGUCAAGCAGACACACACACACACACACACACACAUACACAUGUAUGUAAAUAGGUGGAAUGCACUGCAUAAUACUUGUAAUUGUUGUUGCUGCCAGUUGCCAGUUGCAAUUGCAGUCUCCGGCGCUAAAGUUAUAUAAUUGCCAGCCUUAUGGCUUUUAAUUUGGUUUGGCCAUUGUGUUCAUUUGAUCUCUAGUUCAAGAGCACAAUAAUCGAAUAAAUACAAACGAAUACAUCAUGUUUAUACAGAGGAAAACUGUGCCAUCAGGUUGUGCCAAAGUUGCUUGCCGCCGCGCUGCUCAUCUCGACGGUGUCCGCCUCUUGGCAUGGCGCUGUCUCCACACAGUACCAGCAUCUGGACCCUCAUAGCCACACCUAUUCGUACGGCUAUGCUGAUCCCAACUCAC